CAUGCUGCAUUGUUUGUUCCAGAGUCAGAGAGCCGUGUCGCUGUACAGUCAGAGGUUUUUGUACGGCGGUUCAAUGAGUUUGUAUCACUGUGGUACACGUUCGGUGGAGGAACCAGACUGGAUGUUGGAAGUGAUGCCCGUCCCACCCUGACGGUGCUGCCCCCCUCUAGUGAGGAGAUAAAGAAGGGCCAUGCCACACUUACAUGUCUGGCCAACAAGGGCUUCCCCUCAGACUGGAGUCUGUCCUGGAAGGUGGACGGCAGCAGCAGCAGCAGCUAUGAGGAGAGCAGGAGCCCCGGGGUGCUGCAGAAGGACGGCCACUACAGCUGGAGCAGCACCCUGAGGGUCCCUGCAGACCAGUGGAGGAAGGUGGGCUCUGUGACCUGUCAGGCCACCCAGGGCUCCCAGACUCCACUCUCAGAGACACUGAGGAGAGACCAGUGUUCCCAGUACUGACCUGAUUCACUGGGACUUCACUCUGGAGUCUUCAGCUUUCUCUGUCUUUCUCCUAAUUUUCAUAUUUUUCCUCCCAUAAUAAAGAAGUUCAUGUUUUCAGACAAUAAAGGUGUUUGUUUUCAAAUUUUGGUUGUUCACUUGUUCAUUUAGACAUUUUUGUUUUCUUAAAAUGUAAACAUAAAAAAUAUUUUCAGUGAAUGAAAUAAACAUAAUUUCUAUUCAUUACA